CUAAGGAAGCGAAGGAUAUGGAGAGCAGGAAUGCUAAGGGAAGUAUCCAGAGCAAGCGGAAGCACACUGAGAAACUUUGUUUAGUUUUGAGGGUAGUACCUCAAAGAUUUGAAAAACGCCAAGCGUUAGUCGGGCCUAUAGCUCAGCUGGUUUAGAGCGCACGCCUGAUAAGCGUGAGGUCGAUGGUUCAAGUCCAUUUAGGCCCAUUGACAUAACGAAGAAAAAGAGUUAAAGUUAUGUCUGGCCGAAAAUAAAAUACUCUGGGGGCUUAGCUCAGUUGGGAGAGCACCUGCUUUGCACGCAGGAGGUCAUCGGUUCGAACCCGUUAGCCUCCAUUGAUCCAGAAAAAGGAUCAAAGAGCUAGUACAUUGAAAACUGAAUAUAAUCCAAGCAAAAAACCGAGACAAUCAAAGAGAACAGAUUGUAGAGCGACCGAGAAGAGAAUUCUUGAGUAA
rnacentral:tRNA from 1 species